rnacentral:rRNA from 1 species
CUACGGGCUGCUGCAGUGGGGAAUUUUGGACAAUGGGCGCAAGCCUGAUCCAGCCAUUCCGCGUGAGUGAAGAAGGCCUUCGGGUUGUAAAGCUCUUUCGCAAGGGAAGAAAACUUAUCCUCUAACAUAGGGUGAGGUUGACGGUACCUUGAUAAGAAGCACCGGCUAACUACGUGCCAGCAGCCGCGGUAAUACGUAGGGUGCGAGCGUUAAUCGGAAUUACUGGGCGUAAAGCGUGCGCAGGCUGUUUUGUAAGUCAGAUGUGAAAUCCCCGAGCUCAACUUGGGAACUGCGUUUGAAACUACAAGACUAGAAUAUGUCAGAGGGGGGUAGAAUUCCAUGUGUAGCAGUGAAAUGCGUAGAGAUGUGGAGGAAUACCAAUGGCGAAGGCAGCCCCCUGGGAUAAUAUUGACGCUCAUGCACGAAAGCGUGGGGAGCAAACAGGAUUAGAUACCCGGGUAGUC